rnacentral:rRNA from 1 species
GAUAAACGCUGGCGGCGCACAUAAGACAUGCAAGUUGAACGGACUUAAUCGAAAUAUUUAUCUUUUGAAGCGGUUAGUGGCGGACUGGUGAGUAACGCGUAAGGAACCUGCCUAUUAGAGGGGAAUAACAGUGAGAAAUCAUUGCUAAUACCGCAUAUGCCAUAGAUAUCACAUGAUAACAGUGGGAAAGGAGCAAUCCGCUAAUAGAUGGCCUUGCGUCUGAUUAGAUAGUUGGUGGGGUAACGGCCUACCAAGUCGACGAUCAGUAGCCGGACUGAGAGGUUGAACGGCCACAUUGGGACUGAGAUACGGCCCAGACUCCUACGGGAGGCAGCAGUCGGGAAUAUUGCGCAAUGGAGGAAACUCUGACGCAGUGACGCCGCGUAUAGGAAGAAGGUUUUCGGAUUGUAAACUAUUGUCGUUAGGGAAGAGAAAGGACAGUACCUAAGGAGGAAGCUCCGGCUAACUACGUG